rnacentral:rRNA from 1 species
UACGUAGGGUGCGAGCGUUGUCCGGAAUUAUUGGGCGUAAAGAGCUCGUAGGCGGUUUGUCGCGUCGGCCGUGAAAUCUCCACGCUUAACGUGGAGCGUGCGGUCGAUACGGGCAGACUUGAGUUCGGUAGGGGAGACUGGAAUUCCUGGUGUAGCGGUGAAAUGCGCAGAUAUCAGGAGGAACACCGGUGGCGAAGGCGGGUCUCUGGGCCGAUACUGACGCUGAGGAGCGAAAGCAUGGGGAGCGAACAGG